UGAGGUUAAGCGACUAAGCGUACACGGUGGAUGCCCUGGCAGUCAGAGGCGAUGAAGGACGUGCUAAUCUGCGAUAAGCGUCGGUAAGGUGAUAUGAACCGUUAUAACCGGCGAUUUCCGAAUGGGGAAACCCAGUGUGAUUCGUCACACUAUCAUUACGUGAAUACAUAGCGUAAUGAAGCGAACCGGGGGAACUGAAACAUCUAAGUACCCCGAGGAAAAGAAAUCAACCGAGAUUCCCCCAGUAGCGGCGAGCGAACGGGGAGCAGCCCAGAGUCUGAAUCAGCAUGUGUGGUAGUGGAACGGUCUGGAAAGUCCGGCGAUACAGGGUGAUAGCCCCGUACACAAAAGUGCAUGUGUUGUGAACUCGAAGAGUAGGGCGGGACACGUGGUAUCCUGUCUGAAUAUGGGGGGACCAUCCUCCAAGGCUAAAUACUCCUGACUGACCGAUAGUGAACCAGUACCGUGAGGGAAAGGCGAAAAGAACCCGGCGAGGGAGUUGAAAAAGAACCUGAAACCGUGUACGUACAAGCAGUGGGAGCCUCUUUAUGGGGUGACUGCGUACCUUUUGUAUAAUGGGUCAGCGACUUAUAUUCUGUAGCAAGGUUAACCGAAUAGGGGAGCCGAAGGGAAACCGAGUCUUAACUGGGCGUUUAAGUUGCAGGGUAUAGACCCGAAACCCGGUGAUCUAGCCAUGGGCAGGUUGAAGGUUGGGUAACACUAACUGGAGGACCGAACCGACUAAUGUUGAAAAAUUAGCGGAUGACUUGUGGCUGGGGGUGAAAGGCCAAUCAAACCGGGAGAUAGCUGGUUCUCCCCGAAAGCUAUUUAGGUAGCGCCUCGUGAAUUCAUUCUUCGGGGGUAGAGCACUGUUUCGGCUAGGGGGUCAUCCCGACUUACCAACCCGAUGCAAACUGCGAAUACCGAAGAAUGUUAUCACGGGAGACACACGGCGGGUGCUAACGUCCGUCGUGAAGAGGGAAACAACCCAGACCGCCAGCUAAGGUCCCAAAGUCAUGGUUAAGUGGGAAACGAUGUGGGAAGGCACAGACAGCCAGGAUGUUGGCUUAGAAGCAGCCAUCAUUUAAAAAAGCGUAAUAGCUCACUGGUCGAGUCGGCCUGCGCGGAAGAUGUAACGGGGCUAAACCAUGCACCGAAGCUGCGGCAGCGACACUAUGUGUUGUUGGGUAGGGGAGCGUUCUGUAAGCCGUUGAAGGUGGCCUGUGAGGGUGCUGGAGGUAUCAGAAGUGCGAAUGCUGACAUAAGUAAACGAUAAUGCGGGUGAAAAACCCGCACGCCGGAAGACCAAGGGU
rnacentral:rRNA from 1 species